GUCCUAUUUGUUGUGUGACUGAAACUUGAUCUGCAAACCAGGCUGAAGAAAUCAGCCGACCUUCUCCUCCCCGUUCCUUUUGGGCAUGGCUUUGUUGCAGCCCACUGCCACGAGGUGCAGCAGAAGCGGCAAGAUCCCAAGCUGUCAAGUGUCAAAUGAUGCUUUAUCCAGGACCCAAAUUUGAGAGGGAUGCAGCAGUUCAGCCAUGCGUUUGCCUGGGCUUUUUGGAUGAUCCAGCAGGCUAGAACAGGACGGUAGAGGAAGAUAGCCAGCAGAAGAAAGAAUCUCUGCCACAGCGUUGCAGGUGGGUCAUUAUUUAUUGCAUGUUUAUUAAAACAGACCGAGUUGUACCAGCCCAUUGAGACUUCAGGGAGCAGCGUAGUGAUUGACUUGGUAACAGCCUUCAUUCCUCGCUGCAGCCAUCUGUCCUGGGAGGAACCAGUACCCUCAGGUAAUGCUGCCAAUCAAGAUACUGAUGUUUUAAAAAGUGGAAGUGAUCAGCUGGAACAGUUGUAAGGGUAUUUUAAGUCCAGGCUAUUGGCCAUAUGCCAAGCUGAGUUACUAUGCUUCACCAUCAGAGACUCAUCUUCAUUUUGGAUACGAUAUUCUCUUUUCAUUUCCUCUUUCAAGAAUUAUUCUAAAUAUUUCUAAGAGUUGUUGCGUUCCACCCCACAUAAGAUCUUUGUAAACUCUAAGGCUCGUGCAACCUUCAUUCCUCAGGUCAGCAGCAAUGCAGGAAAGCCAGCCCAGCCUUCCUAGAUGCUGCUUGGGCUGGAGCAGUGGGAUAAGGAGGUGCCCAAGGGGGUCAGAGCCAAGCUGGAAGGAGCAGCCUGAGCAGGAGCUGGGAGCAGCACGGCAAUGGGCUGGAGGACUGGUGCCUGCCCAUGCUGCCGAGAAGGAAAUCCACCCACAGAGGCGACGUGGAGGUGCUGCCUCGGGAUGUAUUUAUGGUGCAGGCUCACUGGCUCGGCUCCACAAAAUUUGUAGUACAGGGAGGGCUGAUAAAAAGCAAUUCAGAGGAGCCCGGUCGGUGCGGAGACACAAUAUGCCAGUGCUGGCUGUAAGCAGCGAUGAGACGACCUCAGCAGUCCCGCGGUCCUGUGGGGAUUGUCAGGGACUGCUAAUGAACAUGGGCUUGUGA
rnacentral:lncRNA from 1 species